GAUGAACGCUGGCGGCGUGCCUAAUACAUGCAAGUCGAGCGAACAGACGAGGAUCUUGCUCCUCUGACGUUAGCGGCGGACGGGUGAGUAACACGUGUAUAACCUACCUAGAAGACUGGGAUAACUUCGGGAAACCGGAGCUAAUACCGGAUAAGAUAUUGAACCGCAUGGUUCAAUAGUGAAAGACGGAUUUGCUGUCACUUAUAGAUGGAUCCGCGCCGCAUUAGCUAGUUGGUAAGGUAACGGCUUACCAAGGCGACGAUGCGUAGCCGACCUGAGAGGGUGAUCGGCCACACUGGAACUGAGACACGGUCCAGACUCCUACGGGAGGCAGCAGUAGGGAAUCUUCGGCAAUGGGCGAAAGCCUGACGGAGCAACGCCGCGUGAGUGAUGAAGGUCUUCGGAUCGUAAAACUCUGUUAUUAGGGAAGAACAACUGUGUAAGUAACUAUGCCCGUCUUGACGGUACCUAAUCAGAAAGCCACGGCUAACUACGUG
rnacentral:rRNA from 1 species